rnacentral:lncRNA from 1 species
CCGCCAAAGUGGGAGCCCAGGCAGAGGAGGCGCCGAGAGCGAGCGAGGGCUGUGAGGACUGCCAGCACGCUGACACCUCUCACCGCCAUUUGCCAGGUCCAGAGUUCUUGUCCUACAUCCAGGAAGAAUGAAGUACGUGGACAACUGGAAAGACUGAUUCCUUAUCCAACAUCACUUUCUGGACUACCUAGAAUCCAACUAUCAUGUUAUGUAGCUCUGAUGAAAUUGCCAAUAAAAGGACCAAGCUUCACUGAUCACAAGAAGUAAUAUGGAAUCCAUACUAUCAUAUUCCCAUUUUCUGAAAACUUAACCAUGAGUUGGGGCUUCAAGGACAGGAGGCUUCUGACAUUGGGUUAUCUGAUGGCACAACACCAAAGAGACAUUCUACACUGGUUUGAACUGAGAGCAAUGGACCUGAGACCAUUCUUGA